AUGCCUCCGAAAGGGGCCGGGCAGCGUCCUGUACGCAGCCAGCCCACCCCCCAACUCUUAAAGGGAUACACAAAACAAAGGCCUUGGCCUUAGGCAAUGAAUACAAGUUUUGUUUUGGGGAAGAUUGUUUAUUUUAUGUACUAUUUUCUCUCUUCGUCUGUCUUCUUGACUAGCGAAGGAUUAAAUUGGAUCGCCUGAGGCUUCAAGUUUGCAGACUGCGCAGUGCCUGGGAAUCAACUGAGCAUAAAAUACGUUUAGUAGGAGAAAACAUUUUAAAGCCAUGGGGUGUGUUUAGGUAAGAAAGGAAGGAGGGAGCACAGUGGACGUACAGCAUUAGGAAUGUUUUUUACAGAGAUUUAGAAAGACGAAGAAUAAAAAUACAAGUCCUGGCAUCUGAAUCAUUAACAACCUCAACAACCCAUUUGUCGUUCUGGGAUGCUAAAAUGUAGUAUGUGUCAAAUUCCAAAUAAAUCAAACUAUUUUUAACUAGUUAAAAAGAGGAGGGUAAGGGGAGGAAUAACUUGGGUGCCUCUUCAAAACGCAGAUUCUCGGACUUUACCUGUAUUUACAGAAUGAAAAUCUGCGGUAAUAUAAAACCAGGGACUCUACAUUUUAGUGGAUUUAACAGGAGUCAAAACCCCACCGACCACCUUUGAGAAGCAUCACAUUAGGAACUGCCCCGUCAGGCUACGCCAGCCUGGCCUCCGUAACCAUCGUAAAUUAAGGACGAAACCAAGAGACAGAGUAAUGUCUGGACCUUCCACCACCUGUAUGACUUCUUAAAAGUAACAAAUCAAAAACAACAGCUCUAAGUGUUGAGAACGACCUCUCAGGCAACUGGUUUCCUUCCUAGCUCAAAACAGCAAAAUGCCUAUCAGUUGGAAUGCCUGCGAAAUUUACUCAGGAAAAAAACCCGCCAUAGACCCUGUAGGGUUCGCCAACAUUUCACCGCUCCAAUCCGAGUGUUCUUAUUCAGACAUACACGAUACCAAAACUGAAAAGUCGCUCAGAAGUGUGACCGAUGCUUGGAUUUUUCUUAAAAGGGCUUCUUUUCAUAAUCCCUUUAGUUUACUUUAGAGCCAAAGACUAAGCAGCCUUUUGAAAAAGUUUUUCUUUGUCUGAGCCCCGUGAAUUUCCUUUCUGCCCAACCCCCCAACAAGAACUCAUUUCUUUAUUCGUGUUAACAGUCUUUUUUUUUUUUUUUUUUUUUUGGAACGGUGGGGGAAGAGAACCUGAGGCCCCUCGUUUUCGGAGUUUUAUUUUUAUGCAAGCUGCUACCCUUAAUCAGUUUAGCAUUAUUCAGACAGUCCUUGAGAGGACUGUCCCAGCAUUAAACAUUCAUAAUCUGCAGACAAAGAGAAAGAGCAGCCUUGUGUAGAGUUAGGAACAAGAGUUUUCUCACCUACUUUUGAGAACCUGGUCUGAUAGCUCCCAGAUCCUGGAUCCGCUUAUCCUGAGCACCACGUUCCUGCACGAGAACACGAAUCUGGACGGAAACAAGAGAGAGACAGAGCAUGAACGGGGGAGGGGCAGAGAGAGAG